rnacentral:rRNA from 1 species
UACAGAGGGGGCAAGCGUUGUUCGGAAUUACUGGGCGUAAAGGGCGCGUAGGCGGCCCGCUAAGUCGAACGUGAAAUCCCCGAGCUCAACUCGGGAACUGCGUCCGAUACUGGUGGGCUUGAAUCCGGGAGAGGGAUGCAGAAUUCCAGGUGUAGCGGUGAAAUGCGUAGAUAUCUGGAGGAAUACCGGUGGCGAAGGCGGCAUCCUGGACCGACAUUGACGCUGAGGAGCGAAAGCUAGGGGAGCAAACGGGG